AUGUUGUUUGUCCCUUUUAGCCCACCAUAGCUGACAUCCUGAACAUUGGUUGGUGGGCUUCUGCAGCAGCCUGGUCGAUAUUGCAGCAGUUGUUUGUCAGCAUCACAUUUCCUAAUUUCCUUGAGGCAGCGGACCUAGAUGAGGACCUGUCUGAAAAACCAUCUAAAGAGAGUUGCAUCAAAGAGCAGAGACAGUAUUUCUUUGGGAACAAUGAGACAACUUUUAAGGGGACUGUGGAUUGUCAGAACUGC